rnacentral:rRNA from 1 species
GACAGAGGGGGCAAGCGUUGCUCGGACUCACUGGGCGUAAAGGGCGCGUAGGCGGGAUGGCAAGUCGGUCGUGAAAUCCUUCGGCUCAACCGAAGAACGUCGGCCGAUACUGCCGUUCUUGAGGGAUGCAGAGGAGAUUGGAAUUCCCGGUGUAGCGGUGAAAUGUGUAGAGAUCGGGAGGAACACCGGUGGCGAAGGCGGGUCUCUGGGCCGAUACUGACGCUGAGGAGCGAAAGCGUGGGGAGCGAACAGG